UGAAGUACGUGUUUAAUUUGGGUCUCUGUAAGAAAUGAUUUGUAACACUGACCUUGAGUAAUAUGGUAGAAUUAUUAACAAUAUCGAGAGCCUGUUAUAAAGGGAGAAAAAUGUAAGUAGAGCCUCAAUAACCCUUGACAUAGAGUAUUCUAAACCCUUGAGAAUCAUUACAUCUUUGUUGUGCCAACUUCAUGUCUCACUUCCUGACCAUCUUCUUGUGACCUCGUUGCUUAAACCAGAAACCAUUCCCUGAGGAUUCAGCCCUUUCAUCUCACUGCUUAUACUAAACCCCAGGAGCCAGGGGUCCCUGUCAGUGGUUGCCUCAGUCUCCCACUACACCUCAGUUCAACUCCUGCCUACUUUCACUCUGGCUCUCUUCUCACUAGCAGCCUUGUCUACCUACAUGGGGCUACCACAUUGUCCUUGCCUGCUUUCUAGUUUUUGAACCAUAGUCAAAUCUGUUCUGUCAUGGUUCCUGGAAAGAAGGUGGCAAUUUACUCCCCUCUUGUUCCCAUAACUGUUCUCAUAACUCUCCAAACCAAAAUAAUCCUCUGUGACCACCACUACCCUGCAUGUAUUGUCUUCCUCUUUUAGAACAUAAGAGGAGAAGGGGAGAGACUGUCUUUGCUUUUGCUUUUUUAUCCCUAGCACUUCACAUAGUUCUUGACAUAGUAAUCCUUAAUAAAUGUGUCUUCAUUCAUUUUUGUUCCAUGUAAGGGACUGACUCUGGGUGAAGAGAAAUGGCUUUUGAUAUUGCAGAAAUUACUGACAUUCCGAGAUGUGGCUGUUGAUUUCACCCGGGAGGAAUGGGGGCUAUUGGAACCAGCUCAGAAGGACUUAUUCAGGGAUGCGAUGCUGGAAAACUAUGAGAAUUUUGUCUCCCUUGGUUUUCAAGCCAGACAUCCUCUCCCAGUUGGAAAAGAGAGAAGCAUUAGAGUUGCCAGCUAAAGAAGUGCCCAGAAGCCUUUACCUUGAUGGUCUAUAGCAUCCUACCAGAACAGUAACACUUUUGUUUUUCCUGUUGAUCUUCAGUACCUUUUAAUCCAAAUCAUGGUUUUGGGGAGUAUAAAGUGCUCUUUCUUCAUAAGUUACAACUCCUCAUGAUGUUGAAAUGGCCUUAUCCUUGUUAUUAAUUCCCAAGAUGAAGUAAGACCUUCACUUUGAUUGUAAAUAGGAGUCAACUGACUAUGGCAGAAAGAUAAACAUAGUAUGAUGUCUGUUGGUCACUGCAAAAUUUGAGUUGCUUUCCUUCUUUACUGGAAUUUUCUUCAUGGAUGUAAUACAGUUGGACAAAAGUACAGUCAGGAGCCAAUCCUUGAUACCCAACAUAGAGUUCUUGAGGCUAAUGUAAAACAAUAUUUGGAUGUAAUUGACCAUGAUAGAAUCUCAGUAGGUGAAAAACUUUAUAAAUAUAAUGAAUGCAAGAAGUCCUUCAUUUGCCAUUCAAACCAUAUUUCUCAACAUGGAACAGACAUUCAAGGAAAACACCCUAAACAUGAGAUAUGUGGAAAACCUUUAGCAGUAAACAAAAUCUAAAUAUUCAUCAUUCAGAAAACUUCACAGAAUCAUGGAAUUUCAGAGUUAGAAGACUCAGACAUCAUCUAGUUCCACCUUUAUCUGACAAAAAAAAUCAUUUGUGCAAAGUAGAACAAAUUGUCAAGCAACUUUUGUUGUAGGACUUCUAAUGAGGGUUAGGGAGCACACUGACUCCUGAACAUUUGGCUUCUCUUUUAGAUAGUUUUAAUUAUUACAAAGUUUUUUUUUUUCUUACAUCAAGCCUAAAUUAGCCUUUUUGCAAUUUAUAUCCAUUCUCUUAGUUAUAGUCUGUCCGAACAGAAAUGCCUAAUCCCUCUUUAUUUCAGUAGCCCUUCAAAUAUUUGGUCACUUCACAGGCCCAAUACGUCUUUUUUUGUUCAGGUGAAAUGUCUCCAACUCUAUUAACUCACGACAUGACUAGAAGGCCUUUAGCUUUCUGUUCACCCUCCUUUCCAUACUCUUCAGCUUAACAACUUUCUCUCUACAACUGGUAACAGUAUUCUAAUUGAGUCUGAGUCAUAGUAGAGCUAUACUAUUAUCCCCAUCCCACUUGUGUAUCUCUUCUAAUAGAGUUUAGGAUUGAAUUCACCUUUUUUGCUGUCCUUUUACACUAUUUGACUCCUUUUAAACCUGUCAUCCACCAAAAUCUCCAGAUAUUUUGCAGAGGUACUUGGUGUGCUCAACAGCAUUGGAAUCAGCAUAAAUCCCUAGGACUUUUUUUUUCUAAAUUUCUAUUGAGCCAUUGACAUGAAAUGAAAGUGUAAUUUAUUCAACACUGCAGAAUCAAAGUAUUAGAUUUUCUCACCAGCUGCAAAUGAUUGUUUUGAGUGGGAAAUGGGACUAAGUUCUUAAGUCUCUCUUUCUGUUCAUUUAAAGUUGUAAUUUAGUGAUAUUAUUCUAGGUGCUGGGGAGAUUAUGUAAAACAUGGUCCUUGACAAUGUGUCUUGAAGGGUAUGACACAUUUUGAAAUAACUGUAAUAUUAACUGAUAUAUGCGAUAAGCUUGUAUGUAGUCUAAUGUGGGGAUUCAUGUCACUGCUUCCUGUACCUCCAAGUCUCCAUGUAGAAUAGACUUCUAUAGAACAGAAUAGAAAAGGUUCCUAACCUUUUCUGUGUCAUGGAUUCCUUUGGCAUUGUCCUGAAGAUUAUGGACCCCUUCUUAGAAUGAUGUUCAUAAAAUAAAGUAGAUGGGAUUUCAAU